rnacentral:rRNA from 1 species
GGGGAAAAAGCGGGGCUUACCAUGGCAGUCGAACGAGAAGCUUUCCUUCGGGAAAGUGGAAAGUGGCAGACGGGUGACCCUUGCGUGGGAAUUUACCCAGUGGUACGGAAUAACUCAGGGAACCUUGUGCUAAUACCGUAUACGCCCUUCGGGGGAAAGAUUUAUCGCCAUUGGAUGAGCCCGCGUCGGAUUAGCUUGUUGGUGAGGUAAAAGCUCACCAAGGCGACGAUCCGUAGCUGGUCUGAGAGGAUGAUCAGCCACACUGGGACUGAGACACGGCCCAGACUCCUGCGGGAGGCAGCAGUGGGGAAUAUUGCACAAUGGGCGAAAGCCUGAUGCAGCCAUGCCGCGUGAGUGAAGAAGGCCCUAGGGUUGUAAAGCUCUUUCACCGGGGAAGAUAAUGACGGUACCCGGAGAAGAAGCCCCGGCUAACUCCGUGCCAGCAGCCGCGGUAAUACGGAGGGGGCUAGCGUUGUUCGGAAUUACUGGGCGUAAAGCGCACGUAGGCGGAUUGGUCAGUCAGAGGUGAAAGCCCGAAGCUCAACUUCGGAACUGCCUUUGAUACUGCCAGUCUAGAGUCCGGAAGAGGUGAGUGGAAUUCCUAGUGUAGAGGUGAAAUUCGUAGAUAUUAGGAAGAACACCAGUGGCGAAGGCGGCUCACUGGUCCGGUACUGACGCUGAGGUGCGAAAGCGUGGGGAGCAAAACAGGAUUAGAUACCCUGGGUAGCCACGCCGUAAACGAUGGGUGCUAGCUGUCGGCAGGCAUGCUUGUCGGUGGCGCAGCUAACGCAUUAAGCACCCCGCCUGGGGAGUACGGCCGCAGAAUUAAAAUUCAAA